UACAGAGGUCUCAAGCGUUGUUCGGAUUCAUUGGGCGUAAAGGGUGUGUAGGUGGCGCGCUAAGUCGGGUGUGAAAUUUCGGAGCUUAACUCCGAAGCUGCAUUCGAUACUGGCGUGCUCGAGGACUGGAGAGGAGACUGGAAUUCAUGGUGUAGCAGUGAAAUGCGUAGAGAUCAUGAGGAAGACCAGUGGCGAAGGCGGGUCUCUGGGCAGUUCCUGACACUGAGACACGAAGGCCAGGGGAGCAAACGGG
rnacentral:rRNA from 1 species